rnacentral:misc_RNA from 1 species
CGUUGGUGAACCAGCGGAGGGAUCAUUACCGAGUGCCUAUACUCGCAACCCUUUGUGAACCUUUAUACCCGUUGCUUCGGCGGCGCGCGACCCCCGGGGAGCGUGCCCGCCGGUGUAUUCAGAAUCUCUGUUUGAACCCGACGUUACAUCUGAGUGUUCUAAGCGAACUGUUAAAACUUUCAACAACGGAUCUCUUGGCUCUAGCAUCGAUGAAGAACGCAGCGAAACGCGAUAAGUAGUGUGAAUUGCAGAAUUCAGUGAAUCAUCGAAUCUUUGAACGCACAUGGCGCCCCCCGGCAUCCCGGGGGGCAUGCCUGUCCGAGCGUCGUUUCAACCCUCGGGCCCGUUUUCGUGGCCCGGCGUUGGGGACCUACGCACCGCCGUAGGCCCCGAAAAGCAGUGGCGGACCCGCGCCGGCCCCCCCUUGCGUAGUAGCAUCAGCCUCGCAUCGGGAGCCCGCGGGCCUAUCCGGCCUCUAAACCCCACCAAAGACCGCCCCCGGCGGCACC